rnacentral:lncRNA from 1 species
UCCGUCCACGAAUAAGCGUAAGUAUAGGUUCAAACUAUCCAACUUAGUACAGCUGUGAAAUUACCAUUAUACCCCUAUAAAAAGUGACUGCCAUAUCUUCUGUUCAUGCUGUAAUGAUUACAGUAACAGUGCACAUCCUAUAGAAAAACACAAAACUGACCAAAGACUUCAGCACAGCCCACCCACGUGGCUACGAAUAAACACAACACAAUAUACAAAAGGCCAUAAAAGACCAUUACAGAAACUUCCAGGACAUCCUUGGCGCCCAUUGUGCCUGGAGAUUCAAAUUUUAACUGCGCGCCACUGCCCCGACUACAAAAGAAUCCACAUGCUCAUCAGGCAUCCACCUUGCUCCUAAUGGUCCAAACUCCAAAACGUUCAAUCCACUGCAGCUUCCUCAGCCUACAAUCCAUUCCCUCUUCAACCAUGGCCAUAGAUCUAAAUAAAGUACCAGAUGAAGGAAGUGAGCAGUUGUUACCUGACCUCAAUGAAGAAGCUCCUGAUGAGCAGGGAGACGAAAUCCAUCAUCUUCAGGAAGAUCAAGUUCAUCUCCUCAAAGAAAAUGAAGUCUAUCAACUCCAAGGUCAAGCCCAGUAUCUCUAUGAAGGGGAACAUAGAGCUAUGCAUGGCAUAGAUCUCAACGUUCCUGCUUGUGAGGGGCAGCAACAAGAACCUGAUGCAGGUAAUGUCUCUCUUAAUUAAAUUGCUACAAGUAAAUCACUUAUAUUCACAAGUCCGUACAUUCCAUUACCUACCUGUGUCCCACCUUAUUGUAGUCCUUCCUGUUGACGACGACCAUCAACAACAUGGAGAUAUCAACUUUCAUGGUCCAAUCGAACACAGCGUAUUUGACCUCAACUUAGAAGCUUCAUGUCACCAACAAUAUAGAGAUAUGAACUUUGUUGGAUCAUAUGACUACGAUGUAUUCGACCACAACAUACAAGCUUCAGAUGCCUUACAAGAUGGAGAUAUCAACUUUGAUGGUCCACAUGAGUACGGUGUGUUUGACCUCAACCUACAAGCCUUAGAUCACCAACAAGAGAUGCAUCAAAUGAUCAGUAAGCCUCAAAUUACCAACCCUUUUUACUUAAUUUUCAUAGUACAUUCACUAAAAUAGGUUCACAGAGUUAAGCAUUGAAUUUUCUUUGCCAACAGUCUUCACAACAAAUUCGUAUUGCUGCCUUACUUGAAUUUUUUUGUAGACAUGAUCGAGGAUAUGAAUGACUAUGGUGUGUACAAUGACGUUGUGGACAUAACCUUUGAUGAAGAGGAGUUGGAGGACUCCGAAACUGAAGAAGAUGUACAUGCAAAUGAAAAUAC